CAUUCCUUGACACUAUUUGCCCUUAAUCUGGGAACCAGUAAGAACAACCACAAGUUGCUAUUCCUGUGUACCUAAAGAUAUGGGAAAAAAUAUUAGUUCAGAGACAAUAUGUUAUCUUAUUUUAUAAUGUAUAUACCCUUUUUGGCUAUUCCCUCAUGAGCACAGAAUCCUUACUUUGAAUUUCAAGUACUUACAAGAUGGUAAAUGGAAAGGAAUUAUAACCAGAAGAAAGCUGCACACCUUUUCCAGCCAAAAACUAUUUUCAGACUGUCUAAGCUUGAGGCUUCUCCACCCUGCUUUCCUCAGAUGUCCCCAGCUGAGAGGUUUUAUAGAGAAGGAAUUAUGAAAACUUCUGGAACAGCAAUGGAGGAAGACUAAAAGAGCAGCUCAUGAGUCUCUUGGAGCUGUACAAACCUGGCCUCUGAGGAUGCAUAGGUCCAGCUGCUCUCCUCGAGAAGUUGGGCAGACUCAAUGUGGAGAGUGUCUUUGCACAUUGCUUUUCCUGGAAGAGAUGCU
ensembl:lncRNA